GACGAACGCUGGCGGCGUGCUUAACACAUGCAAGUCGAGCGGUAAGGCCCUUUCGGGGGUACGACGAGCGGCGAACGGGUGAGUAACACGUGGGUGACCUGCCCUCAGCUCUGGGAUAAGCCUGGGAAACUGGGUCGUAAUACCGGAUAUGACUCCAUGACGCAUGUUGUGGGGUGGAAAGCCUUGUGCGGCUGAGGAUGGGCCCGCGGCCUAUCAGCUUGUUGGUGGGGUGANGGCCUACCAAGGCGACGACGGGUAGCCGGCCUGAGAGGGCGACCGGCCACACUGGGACUGAGACACGGCCC
rnacentral:rRNA from 1 species